UUGUCAGUGGCGAACGGGUGAGUAACGCAUGGGUAAUCUGCCUCGAAGAGGGGAAUAACUGCCCGAAAGGGCUUGUAAUUCCGCAUGAGAUCCACAUCUGGGAAGGUGUAGAUGAAAGGGCCUUCGGGUCGCUUUGAGAUGAGCCCGUGUCCGAUUAGCUAGUUGGUGAGGUAAGAGCUCACCAAGGCAUAUCGGUAGCUGGUCUGAGAGGACGAUCAGCCACACUGGAACUGAGACACGGUCCAGACUCCUACGGGGGGCAGCAAUUAGGAAUCUUGCGCAAUGGGCGAAAGCCUGACGCAGCGACGUCGCGUGAACGAUGAAGUCUUUCGGGAUGUAAAGUUCUUUUCUGAGGGAAGAAGGAUGCGACGGUACCUCAGGAAUAAGCCCCGGCUAACUACGUGCCAGCAGCCGCGGUAAUACGUAGGGGGCGAGCGUUGUCCGAAUUUACUGGGCGUAAAGCGCGCGUAGGCGGACUCUUAAGUUGGUGGUGAAAUGCCGAGGCUCAACCUCGGAACUGCCUUCAAAACUGGGAGUCUAGAGGCUUGGAGAGGGAAGUGGAAUUCCUGGUGUAGCGGUGAAAUGCGUAGAUAUCAGGAGGAACACCGAUGGCGAAGGCAGCUUCCUGGCCAUGUCCUGACGCUGAGGUGCGAAAGCUAGGGUAGCGAACGGGAUUAGAUACCCCGGUAGUCCUAGCCGUAAACGAUGGAUACUAGGUGUUAGAGGUAUCGACCCCUCUAGUGCCGAAGCAAACGCAUUAAGUAUCCCGCCUGGGGAGUACGGCCGCAAGGUUGAAACUCAAAGGAAUUGACGGGGGCCCGCACAAGCGGUGGAGCAUGUGGUUUAAUACGUCACUAACCGUAGAACCUCACCCAGGCUUGACAUCUGCUGAAAGCGCCUGAAAGGGUGGCCCCGGUAUUUUUAUAUCGCAGCAAGACAGGUGUUGCAUGGCUGUCGUCAGCUCGUGUCGUGAGAUGUUGGGUUAAGUCCCGCAACGAGCGCAACCCUCAUCCGAUGUUGCCAGCGUAAAGUCGGGAACUCUUCGGAAACUGCCCGUGCAAGCGGGAGGAAGGUGGGGAUGACGUCAAGUCAGCAUGGCCCUUACGCCUGGGGCUACACACAUGCUACAAUGGAUGUAAACAAUGGGCAGCAAGACCGCGAGGUGGAGCAAAUCUCAAAAAUACAUCCUCAGUUCGGAUUGCAGUCUGCAACUCGACUGCAUGAAGUCGGAAUCGCUAGUAACCGCAGGUCAGCUAAACUGCGGUGAAUACGUUCCCGGGCCUUGUACACACCGCCCGUCACGCCACCUGAGUUGUCUGCACCCGAAGUCGAUGGCCCGACCGCAAGGGGGGAGUCGCCGAAGUGUGGGAGCGAGGGGGACGAAGUC
rnacentral:rRNA from 1 species